UAGUCCGGAUUGGAGUCUGCAACUCGACUCCAUGAAGUCGGAAUCGCUAGUAAUCGUAGAUCAGAAUGCUACGGUGAAUACGUUCCCGGGCCUUGUACACACCGCCCGUCACACCAUGGGAGUGGGUUGCAAAAGAAGUAGGUAGCUUAACCUUCGGGAGGGCGCUUACCACUUUGUGAUUCAUGACUGGGGUGAAGUCGUAACAAGGUAACCGUAGGGGAACCUGCGGUUGGAUCACCUCCUUACCUUAAAGAA
rnacentral:rRNA from 1 species